rnacentral:rRNA from 1 species
GACAGAGGCCCCAAGCGUUAGGCGGAAUCACUGGGCUUAAAGCGUGUGUAGGCGGAUCGUUAAGUGUCUUGUGAAAUCCCACGGCUCACCCGUGGAACGGCUGGGCAUACUGGCGAUCUUGGGCCAACUAGGGGCAGUCGGAACAAGCGGUGGAGCGGUGAAAUGCGCAGAUAUCAGGAAGAACACCCGUGGCGAAAGCGGCUCUCUGGAACGGUACUGACGCUGAGACGCGAAAGCGUGGGGAGCGAACAGG